rnacentral:rRNA from 1 species
GGGUUGUGAGGUUAAGCGACUAAGCGUACACGGUGGAUGCCCUGGCAGUCAGAGGCGAUGAAGGACGUGCUAAUCUGCGAUAAGCGCCGGUAAGGUGAUAUGAACCGUUAUAACCGGCGAUUUCCGAAUGGGGAAACCCAGUGUGAUUCGUCACACUAUCAUUAACUGAAUCCAUAGGUUAAUGAGGCGAACCGGGGGAACUGAAACAUCUAAGUACCCCGAGGAAAAGAAAUCAACCGAGAUUCCCCCAGUAGCGGCGAGCGAACGGGGAGGAGCCCAGAGCCUGAAUCAGCAUGUGUGUUAGUGGAAGCGUCUGGAAAGGCGCGCGAUACAGGGUGACAGCCCCGUACACAAAAGCGCAUGUGCUGUGAGCUCGAUGAGUAGGGCGGGACACGUGGUAUCCUGUCUGAAUAUGGGGGGACCAUCCUCCAAGGCUAAAUACUCCUGACUGACCGAUAGUGAACCAGUACCGUGAGGGAAAGGCGAAAAGAACCCCGGCGAGGGGAGUGAAAAAGAACCUGAAACCGUGUACGUACAAGCAGUGGGAGCACAGGUUUACCUGUGUGACUGCGUACCUUUUGUAUAAUGGGUCAGCGACUUAUAUUCUGUAGCAAGGUUAACCGUAUAGGGGAGCCGUAGGGAAACCGAGUCUUAACCGGGCGUUAAGUUGCAGGGUAUAGACCCGAAACCCGGUGAUCUAGCCAUGGGCAGGUUGAAGGUUGGGUAACACUAACUGGAGGACCGAACCGACUAAUGUUGAAAAAUUAGCGGAUGACCUGUGGCUGGGGGUGAAAGGCCAAUCAAACCGGGAGAUAGCUGGUUCUCCCCGAAAGCUAUUUAGGUAGCGCCUCGUGAAUUCAUCUCCGGGGGUAGAGCACUGUUUCGGCUAGGGGGCCAUCCCGGCUUACCAACCCGAUGCAAACUGCGAAUACCGGAGAAUGUUAUCACGGGAGACACACGGCGGGUGCUAACGUCCGUCGUGAAGAGGGAAACAACCCAGACCGCCAGCUAAGGUCCCAAAGUCAUGGUUAAGUGGGAAACGAUGUGGGAAGGCCCAGACAGCCAGGAUGUUGGCUUAGAAGCAGCCAUCAUUUAAAGAAAGCGUAAUAGCUCACUGGUCGAGUCGGCCUGCGCGGAAGAUGUAACGGGGCUAAACCAUGCACCGAAGCUGCGGCAGCGAACGUAUCACUUAAAGCGAUUCAGCGGGUUACGAUUGACGGAGCGAAGCGACGUCAAAGCGUAUACAAAGUCGAGUCGGUUUAAGGAUACGUUCGUUGGGUAGGGGAGCGUUCUGUAAGCCUGCGAAGGUGGCCUGUGAGGGUUGCUGGAGGUAUCAGAAGUGCGAAUGCUGACAUAAGUAACGAUAAAGCGGGUGAAAAGCCCGCUCGCCGGAAGACCAAGGGUUCCUGUCCAACGUUAAUCGGGGCAGGGUGAGUCGACCCCUAAGGCGAGGCCGAAAGGCGUAGUCGAUGGGAAACGGGUUAAUAUUCCCGUACUUGGUGUUACUGCGAAGGGGGGACGGAGAAGGCUAUGUUGGCCGGGCGACGGUUGUCCCGGUUUAAGCGUGUAGGUGUGUGUUCCAGGUAAAUCCGGUUCACUUUAACACUGAGGCGUGAUGACGAGGCACUACGGUGCUGAAGCAACAAAUGCCCUGCUUCCAGGAAAAGCCUCUAAGCAUCAGGUAACAUCAAAUCGUACCCCAAACCGACACAGGUGGUCAGGUAGAGAAUACCAAGGCGCUUGAGAGAACUCGGGUGAAGGAACUAGGCAAAAUGGUGCCGUAACUUCGGGAGAAGGCACGCUGACACGUAGGUGAAGUGAUUUACUCAUGGAGCUGAAGUCAGUCGAAGAUACCAGCUGGCUGCAACUGUUUAUUAAAAACACAGCACUGUGCAAACACGAAAGUGGACGUAUACGGUGUGACGCCUGCCCGGUGCCGGAAGGUUAAUUGAUGGGGUCAGCGCAAGCGAAGCUCCUGAUCGAAGCCCCGGUAAACGGCGGCCGUAACUAUAACGGUCCUAAGGUAGCGAAAUUCCUUGUCGGGUAAGUUCCGACCUGCACGAAUGGCGUAAUGAUGGCCAGGCUGUCUCCACCCGAGACUCAGUGAAAUUGAACUCGCUGUGAAGAUGCAGUGUACCCGCGGCAAGACGGAAAGACCCCGUGAACCUUUACUAUAGCUUGACACUGAACAUUGAGCCUUGAUGUGUAGGAUAGGUGGGAGGCUUUGAAGUGUGGACGCCAGUCUGCAUGGAGCCGACCUUGAAAUACCACCCUUUAAUGUUUGAUGUUCUAACGUGGACCCGUUACCCGGGUUGCGGACAGUGUCUGGUGGGUAGUUUGACUGGGGCGGUCUCCUCCUAAAGAGUAACGGAGGAGCACGAAGGUUGGCUAAUCCUGGUCGGACAUCAGGAGGUUAGUGCAAUGGCAUAAGCCAGCUUGACUGCGAGCGUGACGGCGCGAGCAGGUGCGAAAGCAGGUCAUAGUGAUCCGGUGGUUCUGAAUGGAAGGGCCAUCGCUCAACGGAUAAAAGGUACUCCGGGGAUAACAGGCUGAUACCGCCCAAGAGUUCAUAUCGACGGCGGUGUUUGGCACCUCGAUGUCGGCUCAUCACAUCCUGGGGCUGAAGUAGGUCCCAAGGGUAUGGCUGUUCGCCAUUUAAAGUGGUACGCGAGCUGGGUUUAGAACGUCGUGAGACAGUUCGGUCCCUAUCUGCCGUGGGCGCUGGAGAACUGAGGGGGGCUGCUCCUAGUACGAGAGGACCGGAGUGGACGCAUCACUGGUGUUCGGGUUGUCAUGCCAAUGGCACUGCCCGGUAGCUAAAUGCGGAAGAGAUAAGUGCUGAAAGCAUCUAAGCACGAAACUUGCCCCGAGAUGAGUUCUCCCUGAGACUUUAAGUCUCCUGAAGGAACGUUGAAGACGACGACGUUGAUAGGCCGGGUGUGUAAGCGCAGCGAUGCGUUGAGCUAACCGGUACUAAUGAACCGUGAGGCUUAACCUUACAACGCCGAAG